rnacentral:rRNA from 1 species
UACUGCUCAGUAACACGUGGCCAAGCUACCCUGUGGACGGGAAUACUCUCGGGAAACUGAGGCUAAUCCCCGAUAACGCUUUGCUCCUGGAAGGGGCAAAGCCGGAAACGCUCCGGCGCCACAGGAUGCGGCUGCGGUCGAUUAGGUAGACGGUGGGGUAACGGCCCACCGUGCCCAUAAUCGGUACGGGUUGUGAGAGCAAGAGCCCGGAGACGGAAUCUGAGACAAGAUUCCGGGCCCUACGGGGCGCAGCAGGCGCGAAACCUUUACACUGUACGAAAGUGCGAUAAGGGGACUCCGAGUGUGAAGGCAUAGAGCCUUCACUUUUGUACACCGUAAGGUGGUGCACGAAUAAGGACUGGGCAAGACCGGUGCCAGCCGCCGCGGUAAUACCGGCAGUCCGAGUGAUGGCCGAUCUUAUUGGGCCUAAAGCGUCCGUAGCUGGCUGAACAAGUCCGUUGGGAAAUCUGUCCGCUUAACGGGCAGGCGUCCAGCGGAAACUGUUCAGCUUGGGACCGGAAGACCUGAGGGGUACGUCUGGGGUAGGAGUGAAAUCCUGUAAUCCUGGACGGACCGCCGGUGGCGAAAGCGCCUCAGGAGAACGGAUCCGACAGUGAGGGACGAAAGCUAGGGUCUCGAACCGGAUUAGAUACCCGGGUAGUCCUAGCUGUAAACGAUGUCCGCUAGGUGUGGCGCAGGCUACGAGCCUGCGCUGUGCCGUAGGGAAGCCGAGAAGCGGACCGCCUGGGAAGUACGUCUGCAAGGAUGAAACUUAAAGGAAUUGGCGGGAUUCCGGUU